UUGUCGCCCUUGGAAUAAAAUUGAACUUAGAGAUAUCAUUUGCAAUGCCAUCUAGCCUUCCUCUAAUAUCUUUGAUUCUAUGACCCAUUCUAAAAUGAAAUGCAGCCUGAUUUGAAGAUGAGAAGAAGCGACUAACCUGUCUUGCCAUUCCUCCUCGCCCCAAUUCAUAGGUUGCAAAGUCAUCCAGCAAAUCAUCCGCAUCAUAGAUGACAUCUUUGAACCUCUUCACCAAAACCUCCACUGCAUGUUCCCUCUCCUGCCGCUCCUCAGCAUCCAGAAGCACAGCUUUGAUGGUGGUCAAUGUGUCCUCAAGCUUUUUCAGCUCCUUUCUAACACCACGGGCCAAUCCAAUUUCUUGGGCAACCAAGGAGCCCAGCUUAGUCAAGAUUUCCUCAGCAAUGCUGAAAGGGAUUUGUUCUGCCAUCUUUCAAAGAAACUGAAAUGGAGAAGGCCAAUGAAAAAUUAUGGAAGGAGGGAAGUUGAGACAAUUAUGAGAGAAAUUAGAACACGAACACGGAAAGUAGUGUGAGAGGUAGCUUGAAUUUGUAUGCUCUUAAUAUGGUAAAGAGGGAGAAGUUGUGAAAAUGAGUAUUAGAAAACGAAGUGAUAUAUAGUAUCAGGAGGCGUGCAGAGUUCACAAGUGAUAGUUGGGACCAACGGCUAGUUUGACAACUUAUUAUACAUGCAGAGAGAAUCAGGAGCCAACGGCUAGUACAACGGCUAGUAUCAGGAGCCAACGGCUAGUAUCAGGAGCCAACGGCUAGAACAACUUCAGAGAAUCAUGCAGCUGUUGAAAUCCAUUUUAAGUUUCGAUUUCAAAAAUUUAAAUUUUAGUUUGAAAAAGAAAAGAAUUAAAAAGGUAUAUGUAUAAUGCAAUCUAAAAUAAUAUUAAUGUAAUAUUUAAUUUAUAUAAUUUUUUUAUAUAUAUUUAAUAGCAUGAUGUAAUAUUUUUAUAUUUAUAAUUUUAAAUAUUUUAAUUAUUAUUAAAAAAGAAUAAAAAAUUAUCUAUUAAAUUAUAAAUUAUAGAAUAAUUUUCAAAUAAAUGUUAAAUGAAACAAAGAUAUCUUAAUAGUAAACAUUAUAAUCCAUUAUAUUUUUAUUUAAAUAAAUCUAACAUUGAAAUCUAAUAUAUUUUUUAUUUUUUUAUUAUUUCUGUAAAUUAAAUACAAUGCAAGAUAUUUUAUUAAAAUUAAAAAGACACCAGGAGCUAUUUUAUUAAUUUGGGUUAAUGGAUAAAUUUUGUAAAAUUAUAUAUAUAUAUUUUUUUUACUAUAUUUUUUAUGCUAAUAGUAAUUAAUUUUAAAAACGAUGGAAGCUUAUUUGUACUUGGCUUAUUUAAGUAGUUUGAUAGUUUUUAUAAUUGAGAAUUCUCUUAAUUCUGUUAGAAAAAGUAAAAGUAAAGUUAAAAAUAAAAAAUAAAAAAUAAAAAAGAGGGAAAAUUCAUAAUGAAAAAAGAAAAAAAAAUUAUUUUGUCUAGAUAUCCAUAAAAAUGAGAAAAAGGAAAUUAAAUCAUACACUUUUUCUAAACAUUUUUAUGAAAAAAAAAUAUAAGAAAAGAAACUUUUUUAAAGAAAUGUUGUGAUUUGUGAAAGGGUAGUUAAAAAUAAAAUAAAAUAAAAUAAAUAAAAAAAUGUUGAGAGGAACUGAGGUCACGACGUCACGUGGAAAUCCAGAGUUUUCUCCACAAGUGUGGAUCCCAUCACAUGCAGGUAUGGUUUCUUUUGUCCCAUCGAUAUUUUUGGAGUAUGUUCCAAAAUCAAUGCAUGUGAAUAAUGCAUUUGGUCAGGUGGAGUGGUGGGGUUUUGUGUUCCAUCACUCUUAGACAUUUUAUUCUUUAUUUCUGUUUUUUUUUUUUUUUUUUUUUUUUUUGAAUUUUCGGGAUGAUGUGGAUUUUUGAAGCUCAUUUUUUAAUAUCAUGAUAGUAAUUAGCAAUUGUAUUUAUUAAUUUUUUUUCAUUCAACUUGACAUAAUCCGAUGUUCAAAUAUAUUUAAGUAAACAUUUUUAAUACUUGAAUUAAACGGUUAAUAAAGGUUUGAACAAACCAAAAUGAUUUAAUAUUUUAUAACAUUUAUAAUUUAUAUUCUUAUAUAUAAAAACCUGUUUCAUUUGUUUUCAAAUAAUUUUGAAGGGAAGAAUCAAAUUUAAUUAUUAUAUAUUAUUUCAUUUUUGGAGAAAGAUGAAUAGAUUCAUUUAUUUGUUUAUUGUUGUUUUCUCACAAUGAUGUCUUAUUUUUUAUUUAAAUAUCAGUAUAUAGGAAAGGUAGUAAAGUUAAAAAAAUAAUUAUCGACAAAUCCAAUUCAACAUGUACUUAUACAACUUCAAAAAUUGUCUAACCCGAAUUUAACUCAAAUCUAAGUUUAAAUUAAACCAAUUGAGUUUUGAAAAUAUGAAAUUAAAUCAGAUUCAAGUCAAAUACUUCAAGUCAGAAUUCAAGUUUGGUUUACACUAAAAUUGACUACAAAGUAGAUGAUUUUAUAUUUCAUCACUUUUUGUUUGAGAAAAUGUAAGUUCAAUUAUGAAUUGUUAUGAUAAGAUCAUUCUAUCUCAAUGUUUGAUAUGAUUAAAUCAUAAAAUAUAUAAAAUAUUAAGUAAAAGAAAUAAAUAUCUUACAUGAAAAAAAACAUAAUAAAUGAAACAAUUUUUAUUACGUCUUAAUUGAUGGCCUCUUUUUCAUUAUGAUAUUGAAAAUUUACAUUUUAUUGUCACAAAAAAGCCCUCUAGAGAUAUUAUUAUUGUUAUUUGUUGUUGGCUUUGAUCAACAGAGAUUUCUUUUCAAAAAUUUAAUUUUAAUUUUGUUAAAUAUGUUAGGGAAUGUCAUCAUUUGAAAAAUGUAAUAAAAGUUUGAGAAGUGGGAUAAAAUUAAAAAUUUUACAUUAAUGCAUAAUCCUCCCUUAUAUAAACUUUUAAUACAACUUCUAAAAUUUGUUAGAAAUUUAUAUAUAUUAUAUUUAAAUUAUUUAGUUUUUAUAUAAAAAGAAAAGUAAAAUGAAUCUGAAAAAACAUAUAAUAAUAAUUUAUCAAUUUUAAAACUAUUCUUUUUUAAAAAAUUUCUGUACUUUUUAUCUUUUUUUUUUUCUAUUUUCUCUUCCUUUAAAUUUUCUUGAAUAUACUAUCACAUAAUCACGCAUGUCCUACAUGUUGGGAAGCAUGCUAAAGAAUGACAAUUUUUUUUCUUUCUUUAUUUAUUUUUUUGGGACUAUCCAAAACUUAGGAAAUAAAAAAAUAACAUAAAUAUGGAAAACAUCAAAAUAUAAACAAAUCUUAAUAUCAAGUACAAAUAGCAAAUACUAGAUUUUCAUGGUUGGCAACUAUAUUAGGUAUGUCCAUAUUGGAAAAAGAAUAGAGAACUUGCACCCAAUAAUUGAAAAAAAAUAAAAUUACAAGGGACUAGAAGAGUAGAGGUUUGAUUCAAAAUUACAAUCUCAAAAAUAGAAGCAAUAUACCAAUUAAAGUAUUUGGUACUCCAAAUCCCAAUGGCCCAAACAAAACACACAACAUAGGCCCACAAGCAAACAAGUCUAAUACAAGCCUUAGCCCUUUCUUGUUGAUAUGACUUAUAAGAGAUGUUUACAGUAGAAACUUUGGUUCUCAUGUUCUCGUUUAUAGCAGUUGGAUUGACAAGCUGUAGCUGGUGAAAAAGGGGUGGCACUCUUGUCGAUUUCUCCAACCAUGGCAGUGAACAAGUUUCUAAUGCCACGAUUGAUCAAGGAGGGUGGCAGCUUCUCUGGCAAACGAUGAUUGGUGGGCAUGGGUGGUGACAAGGAUUGGCUGAGGGAGCGGCAGUGGUUCUGGCUGUGACCAACUCCCAAUGUUUUAGCACAUGAAUAAUGGAGUUUAAGACCAAAAUAAUAUAUUUGUAAAAAAAAAUGAUAAGAAUAGUAUCCAUUUGAAAAUAUUUGUCAAAGUAGUCUUCUUUAUCCAUGUAAGCAUCCACAUGGAUUUUAAGUGUAAAGAACCACCGUUGGUGACUGUGGUUUUAGUACUUACAAAAAUUUCCUUAAAACCACAGUUACAAACUGUGGUUUUACAAUUUCUCUUAGAACCACAGUUACUAACUGCGGUUUUAAAAGAAGUUUCCUUAAAACCACAGUUACAAACUGUGGUUUUACAAUUUCCCUUAAAACCACAGUUACUAACUGUGGUUUUACAAUUAUUUUUAAUCCGUCCUCAUUUUAAUGGUAUUAUAAUUUUAAUAUUAUUUUUAAAAUAUUUUUUUUAUCAAAACAACCAUAAAACCACAGUUAGUAACUGUGGUUUUACUAAUGGUGUUGUAAUUUUAAUAUUAUUUUUAAAAUAAUUUUUAUCAAAAUAACUAUAAAACCACAGUUAGUAACUGUGGUUUUACAAUUAUUUUCAAUCCACAUCUAUUUUAAUGGUAUUGUAAUUUUAAUAUUAUUUUUAAAAUAUUUUUUUUAUCAAAAUACCCAUAAAACCACCGUUAGUAACUAUGAUUUUACAGUUAUUUUCAAUCCCCAUAUAUUUUAAUGGUAUUGUAAUUUUAAUAUUAUUUUUAAAAUAUUUUUUUAUCAAAAUUACAAUUAUGUUGUAAUUUUCACAAAUAUUUUUAAGGGGACUCAUGUAUAAAAAAGUAUGGGAUUUUAGAACUUUGCUUUUCACAAAUUUUUUUGUUACGACUGUUUUAAAAAUAUAUAUAUAUAUAUAUAUAUAUAUAUAUAUAUAUAUAUAUAUAUAUAUAUAUAUAUAUAUUAUCUUUAUUUUUUCAUAUUUUCCUUGAAAAUUUGAGAAAAUAAUUUGGUCUACAUGCAUUCCCAUAAAAAUUUAUAUAUUUAUAGUAAAUAAAAUAUUUAUUUGUUUUACAAAUAUUUUCACAUAUGAACUAAAGAAAAUUAUUUAUUCAUAUUAUUUUUAAAUUUUAAAAUAACUAAAGAAAUUGUUUAUAUUAUUUUAAAAUUUUAUCUUUUCAUAUGAAAAUUAAUGUCAGUGAUUAUGAUUUUAGGUUAUUUAUUAUUAAGUAUGAUUUGAACUUAUGUCUUGGUUAAAAUGUAUAAUUUUUUAAUUAUAUGAAAGAAAAAUAGGUAAUGGUUGUAAUAAUUUAUUUAGUUAGAAUUUCUUUCAUUUAGACUUUAGGAUGCAUUUGAGUUUUAUUUGUUUAAAUUAUCAAGGAAACACGUGAAUAACAUAACAUCACUAAUUUGAAUUACAACACCAUUAGUAAAACCACAGUUACUAACUGUGGUUUUAUGGUUGUUUUGAUAAAAAAAAUAUUUUAAAAAUAAUAUUAAAAUUAUAACACCAUUAAAAUGGGAACGAAUUAAAAAUAAUUAUAAAGUUAGGAAAUUGUAAAACCACAGUUUGUAACUGUGGUUUUAAGGAAACUUCUUUUAAAACCGCAGUUAGUAACUGUGGUUCUAAGAGAAAUUGUAAAACCACAGUUUGUAACUGUGGUUUUAAGGAAAUUUUUGUAAGUUGUAAAACCACAGUCACCAACGGUGGUUCUUUACACUUAAAAUCCAUGUGGAUGCUUACGUGGAUAAAGAAGACUACUUUGACAAAUAUUUUCAAAUGGAUACUAUUCUUAUCAUUUUUUUUUACAAAUAUAUUAUUUUGGUCUUAAACUCUGAAUCAUGUCUUGACUAUAUGUUAUGACAGCCUUCCAAUGACAAGGAUUCUUUUUCUAAAAUUCUGAUAUUAAAAGAAAAUUGUAAGAAUAAAGUAAGAAAAAACAUCAAUAAAAACUGUGUUUGUAUAUUAACAAAUGGGACUGCAAAUACUAAUUCAUUUCAAAAUAAAAAAAGUUACAAUCAUCAAACAGAGAAGGUCGAUAUCGCAAACCUGAAAUAAAUUGUGGAUAGCACAUUUGAAUUUUGAAUUUUGAAUUAAAAGGAGAGUAGAAAUUUAUGUAUUUUCAUGAAAAAUAUGAAAAAAAAAAAUCAAAUAUAUUAAAAUUAAUAAAAAAAAUUAUUUAUUUUAAAAUUAUUUAAUUUUUAUAUCAAUAAGAAAAAAUAAGUGAAAUAAGAUUUAAAUAAUAUAUACAAAUAAUUUAUUGAAUUUAAAUCUAUUUUCUAUUUUUCCUUCACAUUUUAUUUCCUUCUACUUAUACAUCUUUUAUAUCCUUUAAUUCCAUUGUAUGACAUUGGAAGCUUUAAAGGAUAUUAGCCUUUAUUUUUUUCCCUUCAAAGUUUUUAUAGACAAGAAGAUAAAAUUUUGACAAAUUUGUCCUUCCUUUUUAACAAUUCCAUUAUAGAUAAAAGUAAUUUAUAAAAAUUUGAAAUGAUUAUAUGUCAAUAUGAUUUUUAAUUCUCCAAAAUUAGACAUAAAUCUAUUUAAAUUUUGAAGAAACCCAACAAAUUAAAAAUAUUAUUAAUUUUGCAAAAUAUGAUACACUAUUAAAGGAAAAAAAUUCCAAAGAGAUUUUUUAAAAAAAAAAAACUUAUUAACUUUUAAAUUUUUUAAUUUUAAAAAAAAUGUGAACAAAAUUGACUAUCGCAGUCAGAUCCCCAGUGCCCAAUCUACACCAUCCAUUUCAAAUCCUGAGCAAAUUUCAAAUUCAAACUCCAAGCCAGACGACCAUUAACCUAUUCCAUUCUCUCUACAAAUCACAAAUACUAGACACCAUCACUAUUUCUCUCCCCCACUCAAUCUCCUUCAUUUCCACACCAUGGUUGUUGAUAAGAUUAGACUCUUCCUUUAGAGUCAAGUAAAUUUACGAGCAAGAGAGCGUAAAUUGUUCAGAGAUGGAGUCUCUUCUGGAAGAGAUGUCAACAAUAUUUAGCAGCCUCGAAUGAUAAGCUCUGUAAGUGAUGAGAGGCUGCCACUAUCCAACUUAGGAAAGUUGCCAAACUAGAACAGUAUGCAAUCUUUACCAAACAUUGUUUUCUAUUGCUACACAAGUUGUUCGUACACUUUUGAAAUAGACUAGUAUUAGAAAUGAACCCAUAUGAAGAACAAACAAACAAGUCAACCUCAUCAUUGAAGAAACAUAAAAGAACGGGUAUAUUAGAAGGGUGGAAACUAUAACCCACGAUGAUCAAGAAACCACAAAAUGAGAAACAAACAUCUGAAUAACAUUUUGUAGUUGAGAUGCCUAAAACGGAUAUCAGUUGCUUCUGUUUCAAAGCCAAACCUACUUCUAUGGCAUGUAAGAAGAUCCAACAGCUCUCCACGAAAAAAGAAAAAAACAAUUACUUGAGAAAAGAAACAACAUAAAACUUCAAUUAGGAAAGUGGGAAGGAGAAUGGAAACAAAUAAGUCACUCUUCAAUUAUCCAAAUCUAUGAGUUUAUGGCAGGAGCAGAAAGAGAAAGAGAGAGAGAUUGUGGCAGGAAUGAGUCUUGUUGCUAUAGCUCUACUGUAGCCCUCUGAGUUUCUCUAACUUUUGAGUUAGUGCACUUUCCAGAAUAGAAAGAACUUGUUUGACAAAUUCUCCUUAUUUUCUCCAACUCCCAAACUAAAUUGCACUUUCCAGAAGAAGCACUAUGACUAUUGGCCAUUCACUCCAAGGCAUUUAGAUGCCCAGGAUGGAGAAGAGAGCUAACCACACUAUUAAAGCGAUUCAAUAAUAUGUGCCCUUGUUCAAGUUGUUGCUACUCUCCUGACAUGUAAGAAUAUAAGAAAUCAGAAAUCCUACUAAACAAUUGCACAAGUAAUGAACAAUCAAAAGCAAAAAGAGGGGCAUGAAGCAUAAACCUGAAUAAUUAAGGCAGAUUAUAGACUGCAUGCGAAGCCUAAAGAGAGCAUAACUUGGGAGUAUGAUGCAAGUGAACUACCAUAUGCACAUGUCAACAUUUGUUUCUGAAAUAUCAAAUAAUAUUCAGUCAAUCCUCAAGGUGGGAACAUAAAUAAUAUAAAUAAUUUGUCCAGAAACCGGAAUGGAGAAUUAUAGGCAAGGUUCUUACUCCAUGAGAAAGAGAACUCCAAAGAAAACACUCUACAAAGAUUGGAUUCACCAGCAUACGUAUAGGAACAUUAUCAAGUAAGUUGUCCAGUCAAAUACAUCAUUAGUAAUACUUCACUUUAGCAACUUGCUUAUCCAGCAGGAAAUUAUACAAUCCUAAGUCAUAAUACUAUACAAGGGCAUAGGUCCAGCGCACCUGAAGAUCUGCUGGCUUAUGCACUUCAAUAUGUUGUUGUUCUAUUGCCUAGAAGAACCAAAGUACAAGAAUUAAAAUCUGGGCCUAAUAGAUUUUACCAAUUUGGUUGCCAACUAAUAAGCUAUAAAGACAUUUUGGCAAGUGGCAAAAGGUUAGAACGACAAAACUGAAUAUUAAAGACAUACCAAUGCAAGUGAACUUACUCAUUCCAUAUGAAUCAUUCGUCCAUAACUUGUAAAUUAAGAAACGGAGCAGAUUAAUUAUAAAAUAAGAAAUUAAGCAAAUAUCAAAAUCAGGAAAAGAAAUUGGCAUUGCAAACCUAAAAUAUGUCGUGGAUAGUGCACUUGAAUUAAAAGAGAGGUCUUUCGCAAAUUAGCCAUCUGUGACUAGUAGAUAUGAGUCAUUGGGACAUUAGAAGUUAUUAGGCCAGUCUAAGGUUGCCUCCUUUUGGUAUCCCUUCGGGCAGAGAUUUCAAACUUGGAAACGAACAACAAGAAGCCUUGCGAUGUGAAUUAUCUACCUUGUAUAUACUGAAGCACAAUCCCAAAGUGUUAUAUUUUCUAGUGUAACACCAGACUAUAAGUCUUAGGGGGAGGCAUCAACCUUGCAUAAGAUGAAUCCAUAUUUGGCACAACCUCUCAAUUGUGAGAUUUCAUAUUCUAUUCAAUGAUCAUACAAGAUCGUAUGUUGAAUCACAUGAAGAAAUUAUGUCAUAAUUACUAUUAAAAUUGUACCAACCUGAAUCCAUGUGUGAAUUUGAAGACGAUACGGAUCUUCUAAGGCUGAUGGAGGGCACCACCUUUGGAUUCUCUCAGGCAAUGGGAGCGGGAGAGAGAGCGGUUCAGUUCUUUCAAAAGAUGUGAUUAAUUCAAAAGACACAAGUCUAAGCCUUUUAUACCCUCCUGCCUUAGGGACCAUACCCAUUGGUUAUUAGGUCUCACGGGUCUUAGGCCCAUCAUCUAAAGCCCGUGAAAGCAUUAGGCUCUACACAUUAAGUGGCCCAUACUCAAGAUUAAAAUCAGAAAUUGUAUGUCAAUGGAUAACUUAAUACUGGACAAUAUUUUAAUAUAUUGUCGGUCCACAUUUAUUCUAUCAAUCUCCCACUUGGACCACAUAGUACUUUAUUGAGCUCAUCUUUGCUAUCUUAUUCAAAAUAUCCUUAAACAAUCCGGUCUACUAAUUAUGCUAACAUAGGAUUAAAGCGGUCUUCGUUAAUCAUAAUUAUAACUUGACCUAUCAUCAAUCACAACAUUAACAAAAUUAGCAACAUGGAUCAAGUAUGGAUGUGUAGUAUGGAAAUUAUAUAGAAUAUGAUCUUUAAUAUGUCUAUUUCCAAUUGGUCCUACUUUAUGACUAAAAGAUAGUCAAAUACCACUUUCAACACUUGAUGCUAAACUGCUUUUGAAAGUCAUCAUUUCAAUUCAGAGUAUUCAAAUACAAUAGUCCUUCAAAUCAAGGUCUGUACAGAUAACACAACAUAAUAUCACAUCAAGAGAAUAAACACAAAAUCUAAAUACAAACUCCCACCAUACUGACACAUCAUCAAUGUGUACAACACCCAUAUGUGUAACGUGCUCAUGAUAUACUUUGGGUGGCAAACCCUUAGUGAGCAGAUCCACAAUCAUGGAGUUUGUGCUUAUGUGUUUAAUCGAUACUUGAAGACUUUGAACUCUUUCUUUCACAAUCAAGAACUUGAUGUCAAUGUGUUUAGACUUUGACGAACUUCGGUUGUUCUUAGAAUAUAAUUCUGCGGCCUUAUUAUCACAAUUGAUUCUCAAUGGUUUCUCAAUCCCAUCAACGAUUCGUAACUGAGUGACAAAAUUCCGCAACCAUAUCCCAUGGUUUGAUGCUUCGUAGCAGGCUAUGAAUUCUGCCUCCAUGGUGGAAGAAGCAAUAAGUGUUUGUUUAACACUUUUCCAUGAAACUGCUCCUCCAGCUAACAUGAAGAUGUAGCCUGAAGUGGAUCUCCUACUGUCAAGACAUCCUGCGAAAUCGGAGUCCGAAUAUCCCACGAUCUCUAAGUGACUUGAUCUAUGGUAUGUGAGCAUGUAAUCUUUAGUUCUUUGUAAAUACUGCAUAACCUGUUUUACCUUUUUCCAAUGAUCCAUACCUAAGUUACUUAAAUAUCUGCCUAACAUUCCAACAAUGUACGCAAUAUCCGGACACGUACAAACUUGUGCAUACAUGAGACUUCCUACUACCGAGGCAUAGGGAAAUCUCUCCAUAUCUUUCUUCUCAAGUUCAUUUUUCGGACAUUGGUGCAAACUAAAUUUAUCGCCUUUUGCUACAGGCGUGUCUCCUGGUGCACAAUUGCUCAUGCCAAAUCUACUCAACACCUUAUCGAUGUAGGCCUUUUGUGAUAACCCAAGUAUACCUCUUGAACCAUUCCUAUUUAUCUGUAUACCCAGCACAAAAGAUGCAUUACCAAGAUCCUUCAUGUCAAAUUUACUAGACAGAAAUCGCUUGGUUUCAUGCAAAAGUCCCACAUCACUACUGGCAAGUAGAAUAUCAUCAACAUAUAACACCAAGAUAAUAAAUUUGCUCCCACUGAACUUAAGGUAUAUACAUUGAUCAACGGUGUUCUCCUUAAAACCAAAUGAAGUAAUCACCUGAUCAAACUUUCGGUACCAUUGUCGGGAUGCUUGCUUUAAACCAUAUAUGGACCUUUUUAAUCUGCAUACAAGUUGCUUUGAAUCAUUAGACUCAAAGUUCUCCGGUUGCACCAUGUAUAUUGUCUCAUCAAUGUUGCUAUUAAGAAACGUAGUUUUAACGUCCAUUUGAUGUAGCUCUAAAUCAUAAUGAGCUACAAGUGUCAUGAUGAUUCUAAAGGAGUCCUUUGAUGAAACUGGUGAAAAGGUCUCCUUAUAAUCAAUGGCUUCCUUUUGAGUGAAACCUUUUGCAACUAGGCGUGCCUUAUACCUAACAAUGUUGCCUUUUGAAUCUCGCUUGGUUUUAAAAAUCCAUUUACAACCAAUCGGUUUUACACCUUUAGGCAAUUCUACUAGGUCCCAAACACCAUUGUCUUUCAUUGAUUUCAUCUCAUCCUUCAUGGCUUCUAUCCACUUUUCAGAAUUAGAACUUUGUUUGACUUGACUUACUGAAAUUUGAUCGUCUUCCAGACCCAUGUCAAACUCAUGUUCUUGGAGAUAUACAACAUAAUCAUCUGAAAUUGUACUUCUCCUUUCUCUAGUGGAUCUCCUUAAUGGUUCUUGCACUUGAGGUUCUUGAGGUUGUUGAGUUACCUCUUGAUGAACUUGAAUCAGUUCCAUAACUUGACCAGGAGGAAUCUCAGGUGUGUCUUAAAUCCCUGUUAUGGACUGUACAUUCUGAAUAGUGUCAUCAAACAUAAUAUGACCAUGUCCAGUCGUAAUAAUAGGAAUAUUAACAGAUUCCUCUUCAAAGACCACCUUUCUUGAUGGCUCUCUCCCACUUAACUCAACAUCCUCAAUGAACUUAGCAUUGCCCGUUUCAAAGAAGGAUCUAGUUAAGGAAUCAUAAAAUUUGAAACCUCUCGACCUUUCAGAAUACCCUACACAGUAGCAGCUCACUGUUCUGGAGUCCAAUUUCUUUUCAUUUGGCUUGUAAGGCCUAGCUUCAAUUGGACAACCCCAGACAUGCAAGUGCCUAAUAUUAGGUUUCUUGCUAGUCCAUAAUUCAUAUGGGGUUUUGGCUACUGCUUUGCUUGGUACUCUAUUCAGAAUAUAAACUACAGUUUUUAUGGCUUCGCCCCAAAGUGAUUCUGGUAAGGUGGAAUGACUAAUCAUACUUCUUACCAUAUCCUUAAGAGUACGGUUUUGCCUCUCUGCUACACCAUUUUGGCUCGGAGUCCCUGGCAUGGUGUACUGAGGAAUGAUACCACACUCCAUCAAAUAUUUGGCGAAUUGCCCUGGACGUUGUUCUCCGGAUCCGUCAUAUCUACCAUAAUAUUCACCUCCACGGUCAAAUCUGACGGCUUUUAUUUUCUUGUUUAGUUGGUUCUCAACUUCAGCUUUGAAAUUCUUGAACACAUCCAAUGACUGAGACUUUUCAUGAAUCAAAUAAAGAUAGUCAUAACGCGAAUAAUCAUCAAUGAAAGUGAUAAAAUAUUGUUGUCCAUUCCAAGAAGGGGUAGGAAAUGGACCACAAAUGUAUGUAUGUAUCAAUUCCAAGACGUCACUGUACCUAUCGGCAUUUUUUUUCCUCAUAUUUGUUUGUUUUCCCUUAAUGCACUCUAUACAGACUUGAAAGUCUGAGAAAUCAAGUGGAUCAAGAAUUCAUUCUAACACAAGCCUUUGAAUUCGUUGAUUUGAAAUAUGACCUAAAUGUUUGUUCCACAACAUUGAUGAAUUCUCAUUCAUUAAUUUUCGCUUAAUGACAUAAUUACUUGAAUGCAAGGUUUCAUUUCCAUUAGUGGCCUUUAUGUUCAAUUUAUAUAGUUUGUCUGUUAGACUACCUGUACCAAUAAUAUUUGAAUUUAGAUAAAGACUAACAAUUCUAUUUCCAAAUGAACAAUAAUAUCCAUAUUUGUCCAAACAUGAAACAGAAAUUAAAUUCCGUUUAAACGACGGUACUACAAAAGUCUCUUCCAAAUCCAAUGUACAUCCAGAGUCUAACUGUAAUCUGAAAAGACCAAUAGCCUUGACUACAACCUUGUUGCCAUUUCCCACAUAGAUGUAUCUUUCACCAUCAGUUGGCAUUUGGCUCCUUAGGCAACCCUGCAUAGUGACACUUAUGUGAGUAGUUGCACCCAUAUCUAUCCACCAAGUGUCAGUAGGCACUACAACUAAAUUAAUUUUUGAACAAACAAAAUUAAGAAGUGUACCUUUCUUUUCACGCCAAGCAACGUAUUUGGUACAUGUCUUUUUCAUAUGACCAGCCUUCUUGCAAAAGAAACAAGUGAUCUCCUUAUCUUGUUUCUUCUGCUCCUUUUGCUUUGAUGUCCCAAAAACCGCAGUUUGUUUUCCUUUAUUAUCCCUCUUUCUUUUCUUGCUGGUACCAAAUCCCUGAGAUGUGGAAGCCAAGUGAGCACUUUCUAUCUUUUCUUGCUUCAAUCUUUCCUCCUCUUGCACACAUUGAGCAAUAAGCUCAUUCAAAGUCCAUUUUUCCUUUUGUGUAUUGUAACUGAUUUUGAAUGGACUGAAUUGUGUAGGCAGAGAGAUCAAGACCAAGUGCACGAGUAUGUCUUCCGACAACUCUAACUUUAGUGUCUUGAGUCUCGUCAUAAAAUUAGACAUUUCCAUAAUGUACUCCCUAACAUUCUCUUUCCCUUUAUACCGCAUAGAGACAAGCUUACUAAGAAUAGUGUUUGUCUCAACCUUUUCGUUUGCAGCGAAUCAGUUUGCUAUCUGGUCCAAGAAUGCCUUGGCUUGGGUUUCCUCAGGUAUUGCACCCCUUAUUGCUUCUGGAAUUGAGUGUUUCAUAAUCAUUAAACUCAUGCGAUUGGAUCGCUCCCAUUUUUCCAUAGUAGACCUUUGCUUAGCAGUGCUGGCACUAGUAAGAUCUGAAGGGCGAUCCUCCCUUAAUGCAAAGUCUAAAUCCAUGCACCCGAGCACAAUUAUAACGUGCUCUUUCCAUUUCUUGAAAUUUGUGUCGUUAGGCACAGGAAUGUUAUUAACAUUUGCAGAUAUAGAAGAUGUUGAAUUCAUAAUAAUAAAACUCACAAUCAGUCACAUAAGCAUCAUACAUACAUGAAAAAUAACAUCAUAUAAAAUACCUAGCACAAACAUUAAUAUUUUGUCUUUGGACAAUAAAUAUUAACUUGUAAUUGGUAUCAUUAUUCAAAAUUAAUUCAUAAAUAUUGACAAUAAAACUGAAAACAAUAUGUUUGUCUUUGGACUAACAUAUCGAAUGCAAUAUAGACAUUAUAUGUCACAUAUUUAUGACUACUUUAUUUAUUACUAUAUUAAAAUAAUCUUCCUUUGGGCCGAUUAUUUUAAAUGAUAACAAUAAUAUGUUUAGAUAUUGUAAAAUAAGUAAAUUAUAUAAUAUAAGUUACUUUGGCAACUAACAUACAUAAUUCAUUUAUUUUAAAAUACAAAGCAUGAAUAUAGCAUGAAAUAAUUUAAUUAAAAUUAUUUAUUUAUUUAUGCAUAAACUCAUGUAUGUAUCCAUAUAUAUAUAUUAAAGCAUAAAUGCAAAUUAUGGGCUUUAGUCCAAUGGUUCAAGGACCAUUCCUUAUUAAUUAAGAAGCAAAUCAUGGUCACGGGUUCAAGCUCUGUGGACCUUUCUCUUUUUUUUCUUUUUUUCAAAAUGGCCUCCAACAGCACGACGCCUAAAGUGGCGCCCCAAGCACGCCCUGAACGGCGCCGGAAGAGACGCCGGUAGUGGCGCCCAACGGCGUCUGGGGAGACGCCUUAAUGGCGUUGCGGACAGUGCCGGAAGUGGCGCCUGAAGGCGCUGGAGCAGCGUGCUUUAAACGCGCCUGAACCGCACCUCAACGGCGCUGCCUAAGCUGCGCCUCAACGACGCUCAACGGCGCUGCAGUGGCGCCGUUAACGCGCCCUAACGGCGCCCGGAGAUGGCACCUCACGGCGCCCGGAGAUGGCACCUCACGGCGCCCGGAGAUGGCACCUCACGGCGCCUGGAGAUGGCGCCCCAACGGCGCCUGGAGAUGGCGCCCCAACGGCGCCUGCAAUGGCGCCCCAACGGCGCCUGCAAUGGCGCCCCAACGGCGCCUGCAAUGGCGCCCCAACGGCGCCUGCAAUGGCGCCCCAACGGCGCCUGCAAUGGCGCCCCAACGGCGCCUGCAAUGGCCCUGCUCGCUGGAGCAUCACCAACAACGCAACGACGCCUAAACGGUGCCGGAGACGGCGCGGGAGGCAGCGCCUUAGCGACGCCGCGAGUGCGCCCUGAUGGCGCUGCAGAUGGCACCGAAAGUGGCGCCUGAAACACGCCUGAAGUGCGCCUCCAAAAGGCGCCCGAAUUGCGUCUUCACUGGCGCCUCUCAUUUUCUGACAAUUGUUAAAAAAAAAAAAAAAAAAAUUGCAGAAUUCCUCCUAAAAUGAACCCUCAAAAGAUUUUACAGAUUUUGUGAAAAUAGAAGUCAUUUCUCGGUGAUUCAACCUGGGGUUCUGAUACCAAUUGUGAGAUUUCAUAUUCUAUUCAAUGAUCAUACAGGAUCGUAUGUUGAAUUACAUGAAGAAAUUAUGCCAUAAUUACUAUUAAAAUUGUACCAACCUGAAUCCAUGUGUGAAUUUGAAGACAAUACGGAUCUUCUAAGGCUGAUGGAGGGCACCACCUCUGGAUUCUCUCAGGCAAUGGAGCGGGAGAGAGAGCAGUUCAGUUCUUUCAAAAGAUGUGAUUAAUUCAAAAGAUACAAGCCUAAGUCUUUUAUACCCUCCUGCCUUAAGGAACCAUACCCAUUGGUUAUUGGGCCUCACGGGCCUUAGGCCCAUCAUCUAAAGCCUAUGAUAGCAUUGGGCUCUACACAUUAGGUGGCCCAUACUCAAGAUUAAAAUCAGAAAUUGUAUGUCAACGGAUAGCUUAAUACUGGAUAAUGUUUUAAUAUAUUGUCGGUCCACAUUUAUUCUAUCAUCAAUUCCUUGGAAUUGCAUGUGAACUUCAUCCUCAUUAUCUAACAAAAGAAUGCAAAUGAAGAAAAUAUUGUUGUAUCAAAUAGAUCUAGAUCCUCCAUAUACAGAUGCAAUGGCAUGAAUGUCAACUUAGGGAGAAUGAAUGUUAUUAUUGUUGCUCUACUACAACCAUUACCCCCUCCUACCCAUCCUUUUUUAUUUUGUGUACUUUUAAGAAUGGAAAAGACUGUCUUUCUAGUUCUCAUGGUCUUGACUUCUAUCCAAAACCAAAUUUCCUCAUAAUAUAUGUUCCUUGCUCAAGUGGUACAUUGUCGUUCAGGUUCCGCUCUACAUGAGAGCUCAAAUUAAAGUACAACAAUUUUCUACUCAGCAUUAAUACUAUACAAGAAAUAAAGAAAAGUCCUCACACCAACACUAACGCAAAUGAAUGAUGAUGAUGAAAUUUUCCUUCAGUUUUUCAAAAGGGAAUCUCAACACCAUGAAGUGUGUGAGUUUUUGCAUAUGAUAUUCUUCAGAUAAUCUAGGGAUUUCAGAAUUCAUUUCUAUCAUCAUCAGAUAAUCAGAAUAUUGUAUUUUGAGAAAAUAAAAUCCAUGAAACAUUUAUCUUGAUACUUCACCUACUAUUUCAAAUCUUCAUCAUUCGCAAUCAAACCAUGGAGGUGUGGGCAGUGCUUCUGGUGUCAAGGAUGAGAGGAGGAGGGUGGUGAAUGAGUCAACUUGGAAAAAUGGGUGAGCUUGACUCAGUCUCUACAUGGCAGAAUUAGAAUGAAUACAAGGGUCAACUGUCUCCCAUAUCUGAUUUCAAAUGUCUUCAAGAAAAUCCUUUCCUAGAAAUACAAGAACUGGCAGUAGGAGAAGCGUGAAAAAACUGCUAAUAAGAGGGAUGAAAGUAUACCAUCCAACAUGAGGCAAUAUUCAAGUACAAACUCUUCCAGAGGCAUUGAUCAAACUUUUGGACACCUAUAAUUCACCUAGAAAUAAAAAUGUGGGUAAUGUCAAAAUUGCAAAAGUAGUUCCUUCACAAACAUAUCAAAUGAUAAUAUGAGAUAUUGGUGAUUUACUUUUCAAGCAUCUUCAAUCAUAUUAGACACACAACAACCUCUCGGAUGAAGCAUAUUCUCUAUCAGUUUGAAAAUCCUGAUAUUAAAAACAAAAUAAACUAAAAAAAAAAAGAAAUAAUUAUUAAAAAAAAAAAGAAAAUUAUAAUUUUAUAUACAGAAACACAACGACAAAGAACACACUUAGGGACAAUUUUACACUCUGUAUCUUGCAACUUGUUUCUCUUGUAAAAUGAAGAAGAAAUGAAGGAAGAAAGAAAUUAUUAUCCUCUCAUACCAUAGAUGCAAAUGAAGCAGCUAUCAAAAGUAGGAAAAGAGGUUAUAUUUGUACACCGGAAAUGUAUUGUGAGUUACAUGCUUGAACUGAAGAGAUGGAAGUCCUUCACGUAUUUGCAAUUUGUUGCUAGAAGAUAUGAAUUUCUAGGACAUGAGAAGCCAUUUGGCCAAUCAGCAAUGGCCUCCUUUUAGCAUCCCUUCUGGCAAUGAUUUCAAGCUCGACAAUAAGGAUAACAAGCUUAGUGAUGUGAAGUACGACUCUAGUAUACUGUAGUCAACAACCGAUCAAGUAGCGUCCUAAGGUGUUAGAUUCCCAGAGCAUUGACAUGCUCAAGCCCUUGAGAGAAGCAUCAACUUUGGACAAGGUCAAGUGCUAAAAAUUGCAUGCUGUCUUCAUCCUUGUUCUCUCACAAAAGAAUCUACCUGCAACAAAAAAAUUCUUGAAGUUUCCAUGUAUAAGAUGGAGACAAAUCUCCGACAUUAUUCAAUAUUGGAUAUCUAGACUCAUAAAAAUUGACAAUGACAAGUCAUGCCUACCAAAACUAAGAAUUGAGGUGUCAUAAAGAUCUAAAUCCCGAUCAAGACAUGUAAAAACUCAAUCGUCUUCAAACUGUGCACCUGUGUGAAGGAAUAUGCUUAUGUUAAGCCUCGAAUUGAGGCCAUACACGUGGCAUCAUCUCAGGAGCUCACCUAAAGAGCUAUUUGUGAUCAAAGAUGAAAUGAGGAAGUAAAGGGAAGGACACAUGGUAAAGAUGGGUAUGGAGGAUAAGCUUUUUGUGUGGAGGUGAAGCUGGGUAUUUACCUAUAAAAGGAUACAAGAAUGAACAGAGAAAGAACUAUUACUUUUUAAAUGGAACUAUGGAAGAGAGAGAACCUUUGGACCUCUAGAAACGACUUCUACUCUUCUGGGAACUUUAUUUCUUGGGAUUUUUGUAGAGCUCCUGUGUAGAAAGGGGAAAUAUGAGUUUGAGAAGGUUCCAUUCUGGGAAACAGAGAGUGAAUUAAGGAGAGAUCUCAAUUUCAGUCUGGGUUCUACUUUUUUUAGUGAAAUCUAAGGAGGGAGUUGUGAGGAGGUUGCAACUAUUACAACUGGAGAUUGCAAUAGAUUCCUUGGUUAUAAUUCUGCUCCUUAUGGUAAACCUCAAUCCGAGGCAAAAAAUCUUUUCAGGAAGAGAUGUUAUACAGAACUAAAUCAGCUCAAGACAAAUCAAAAGACAAGGAAAUCAGGGAGUACCAAAUCUUGGUGUUGUUGCAUGCUCUGCCAGAGAUACUACCCUUCAACCAUGUCUUGAAGUUUCUCCAACUUUUGAGUUUCUCCAUCAUGGCAAGAAUAGGAAGAAUGGUCCUACAAAUUCUUCUUGUUUGCUGCUCUUCCUAAACCAGAUUGCCUCUCAAUGAAAAUGAAGAAGAUACAAUCCUGUUAUCCAUGUGCUCCAGAACAUUUAGAUUCCCAAGACCUAAAGACUCGAGAGAAGAGAAUUGACUGGCUAUUAGAUGGAUUCAGUAAAAUUUGUUCCUUGCUCAAGUGGUAUGUUGUCGUUUUACUGCAAAUAAGAAUCAAAAUAUCAGAACUCUAAGAAAGGCAUAACAAUACUUUUAAACAUGUUAAAUAAAAGGGAAAAAAUGAUCAGAAGAAAAAAGAGAGAAAUGAAUGGAAACCUGAAUAAUAAAGACUUCCUAUUGAUGGGGCAUGCAAAGCCUAAAGAAAGCAUAUGCUGAGAGCAUGAUGCCAAAUUUGAGGAGGAUUUUUAAACUGUACUAAUCUAAGUAUGUUUACACGAAAAGAAAUAUGAAACAAUUACUCUGUACAACAGCAACCCUUUUACAUAAUUACAAGCAUGAUCUCUAACCUAUUUGACCAAAUUACAAUUCAUAAUAUCAGAUAGGACCAACAUAAUAAGAAGUCUUUUGUCAAUUUUGUGUUUUGGUUAAUUAGAGUGAUAUCUUCAAAAUUUACAAAAAGCACAGUUUCUUGUUAAACAAAAAUAUAAACAAGAGUAAAAGACUCUUAACAGAUUAGUAUUGUGAACCAGAAAUACAUUAUGGAUAUCAUUAUAAAUUGAUAUUUUGACAGACAGCAAAAGCACUGCGGAUUUGUAUUAAUGGGUUGUAUAGGUACACACACAAUAGGGUCUAACACUCUUAGCAUAACAAUGAUUGUAAAAUAACAAGAAAUGAAGCAAUCAAAAGUAGGAGAAAAGGUUGGAUUGCAAACCUGAAAUAUAUUGUGGAUGACACCAUUGAAGAGCAGGCAUACCUUCUGAUGGCUCCUCACUAUCAUCUUGUGAUGGCUCCUUAACAUCACCUUUAGGAAUAUGAGAAAUCUUAAGCCAAUCUUUACCUAUUUCCUUUUGCAACUAGACCAGAACAGUUACCAAUUGCGAGAGUUUCCAGAGUGGUAACAUGUUGAAGCCCCCUCGAGAGACAAAUGAACUUUGGAAUGGAUACAAUUUUUGGGAAUUGUGCGUAAGCUUCUAAGACCUUGAAAUUGCUUGACAGUGUCAUUAUCAUCCUCCUUGUCUAAAAAACCAAGCUUCCUGAAGUUUGGAGUAUUCAUGAUCUCAAUCGCAGUGAGAUAUUGAAUCCCAUGACAGAAAGAUGUCAGACCAUGACAAUCCAUGAUUGACAAAUCGUUGAGCAAGUGAGGGAUCACAGUCAUUUAUCAAGCAGAGAUAUCUGAUCACCUCUUCUACAAACAUCCAGCAUCUUUAAUGAAGAAGAGGCAAACAUUAUCUACCACAAUGAGAUAUUAGUGAUAUACUUUUCAAGCAUCUUCAAUUGUACGAGACAUAGAACAAGCUCUUGGAUGAAGCAUAUCCUUUAUUAUUUUUAAAAUUUCUGAUAUUAAGAACCGCAUAAACUAAAACAACUAAGAUAUUAUUAUUAAAAAAUAAAGUAAAUCAUAAUUAUACACAUAGAAACACAAUGACAAAGAAAACUUCUGGGGAAAAUUUAACACUUUGCGUCUACCAACUUGUUCCUCCUGUGAACUUAAGAAGAAAGGAAGGAACAAAGAAAUUUAUUAUCCACCUAUGUAAUGGAAGCAAAAGAAACAGCCAUCAAAAGUAGGAAAAGAGGUUAACAUUGUAGACUUGAAAUAUAUGUGGAAAACAUACUAGAACUGAAAAGAUGGAAGUUCUUCAUGAAUUAGCAAUUUGUGAGUAGUAGAAAUGAAUUCCUAGGAAAUGAGAAGCCAUGAGGCCAAUCAACAACUGCUUCUGAUUUCAAGCAUUAUAAUGAAUGAUAACAAACUUAGGUGGUGUUUGUUUUUUGUACUUAAUUCUAAAUAGAACUUUAAUGUUUAAUAAUGUGAAGUAUUAGAUUGUUUGUUUUUUUAAUAUUUUAUUUCUAUUAAAUAUUAAAAAGUAAAGAAAAACCAACACAAUAUUUUUUCUAUUUAGAAAAAGUCAAAUAUUUUGGUUUUUUCUAUUCAGCAAAAAGUUUAUAAUAAGUUAUGAAAAAAUAGAAAAACAAACAACCGAAAGUCUAAAAGCAAAUUGCUUUUAGCAAAAAGCUGAAAAAACAAACACCCUCUUAGUGAUGUGAAGUACCAUUCUAGUAUGUCAAAGUCAGCAGCCAAUCAAGUAGAGUCCUAAGGUGUUAGAUUUCCAGAGCAUUGACAUGCUGAAGUCUUUGAGAGAAGCAUCAACUUUGGACUAGGUCAAGUACUCAAAAUUGCAUGUUACCUUCAUUCUUGUUCUCUAACAAGGGAAUCUCUCAGCAACAAAAAAUUCUAGAAGUUUUCAAGUCACAUGUGAGACAGAUUUCUGCCAUCACUAAAAACUGGAUAUCUAGACUCCAUAUAAAUAGGCAAUGACAUGUCAUGCUUACCACAAUUAAGAAAAAUUGAGGUGUUGGAAACCCUUUUCUGGAAGAGAUGUUAUACAAAAUCAAAAUCCUGAUCAAGACAUGGAUACCAAAUGUUGGUGCUGUUACAUGCUCUGCUAGUGAUACUACCCUUCAACCAUGUCUCUUGAAGCUUCUUCAGCAUGAAUUUCUCCAUCAUGGCUGGAAUAGGAAGAAUGGUCCAACUAAUUCUUCUUGUUUGCUGCUUUUCCUAAACCAGUUUGUCUCUCAAUGAAAAUGAAGAAGACAUGACCCUGUUAUCCAUGUGCUCCAGACGGUUUAGAUUCCCAAGGUCAAGAGACUUGAGAGAAGAGAAUUGACCAACUGUUAGAUGGAUUCGGUAAAAUUUGCUUCUUGCUCAAGUGGUAUGUUGUGGUUCUACUGCAAAUGAGAAUCAAACAUCAAAACUCCAAGCAAGGUAUAACAUCACUUUUAAACAUGUUAAAUAAGAGAGAAUAAAUGAUCAAAAGAAAAAGGAGAGAAAUGAAGGUAAACCUGAAUAACAAACACUUGUUAUUGGUGGACUGCAAAGCCUAAAGAAAAUGUAUGCUGAAAGCAUGAUGCCAUAUUUGAGGAGACAAUUUUCAAACUUCACUAAUCUAAGUAUGUUGUAGAACAAGUUAAGUGAAAAGAAAAAUGAAACAAUUACUUUGUUCAACAGCUACCCUUUAACAUAAUUACAAGCAUGAUCUGUAACCUAUUCGCCAAAUUAUAAUUCAUAACGCCAGAGAUGACUAACAUAAUAAGAAGUGUUUUUGUCUAUUUUGUGUUUUGGUUAAUUAGAGUGAUAUCUUCAAAAUUAACAAAAAGCACAGUUUAUUGUCAAACAGAAAUAUAAACUACUUUAUAAGACUCUUCACAGUUCAGUAUUGUGAAACCAGAAAGAUAUUAUGGAUAUCAUAAUAAAUUGAUAUUUUGACAGACAGCAAGACCACUGCAGAUUUGUAUUCAUAGGUUGUAUAUGUGCACACAGAACAGAGUAUAGCACUCUUAGCUUAAUAACCAUCGUAAAAUAACAAGAAACGAAGCAAUUAGAAGCUGGAGGAUAGAUUGGAUUGCAAACCUGAAAUAUAUUGUGAAUGAGACCAUUGAAGAGCAGGCAUCCUUCUGAUGGCUCCUCAAUAUCAAUUUUAGGAACAUGUAAAAUCUUAGGCCAAUUUUCACAUGUUUCCUUUUAGCACAUUUCUGGUUAGUACCGACAACCAUAGAUUAUCAGUUUCUGUAAAGGGUUGAUUGAACACAUCCCUUGGAACUGAUUUUAAUUUGAGGCAUUGAAAAUGAUGUAGUGCUUCCUACCAUCUGGCAAAGCUACUAGACCAGAAUAACUGAGAGAGUUUCCAGAGAGGUAACAUGUUGAAUCUCCCUUGGGAGACAGACAACUUUGGAAUUGAAACAAUUUCCACGUAUUGUGCACAAGCUUCUAAGUCCUUGAAAUUUCUUGACAGUGUCAUCAUCAUCCUCAUUAUCUGAAAAACCAAGCUUCCUGCUUGACACAAAUAGGCCAUGACAAUCCAUGAUUGACAAAUUGUUGAGACAAGUGAGGGAUCACAGUCCUUCCUCAGGCUGAGAUAUUAGACCACCUCUUCCACAAAUAUCCAGCAUCUGCAAUGAAGAAGAGGCAAACAUUGUUGGCCACAAUAGCUCUUUAUGGACAUCACAAAGGUAUAGCCCCUCAAGACAAGGAAAUGAAGACAGACAAUGGAUGUCAAUCUGAAUGAGAAAGAGAAGAAGAUGAAGACAUUGUCAAGGAUGUCAAGUUAUGGCAAUCAUUGAUCUCUCAUUCUGAAAGACUAAGUUAUGUGAUAUGUCUCUCCUCCACCUUCCUUCCAAUUCAGCAACUCAAAAAUUUGGAGUCCUUUAAAAGAAGGGAAGAAUGGCAUUGCUGAUGAAGACUCCUUCAUAUACUCCAGCUCAGUUAGAUUGCCUAGCUCAGUUAGAAAAUGAAUAAGAGAUAAACGAUCAAGAACAGAAGGAUGAAUGAAAUUGUAAAAUGAAUCUAGUAUGCCCAAGUCAGAAAAUUAGCAUGGUCCUAAAGUGUUAGAUUUUCGAUGCAGUAAUAUGCUGAGGUCCUUGGGAGGGGUACUAACCUUGGAUAAGGGGAAUACAUAUUUGGCACAAACUCUCAAAACCUAAAAAUUGGAUGCUAUAUUUAUCGUAAAAAAUCUCUGACUUGCAAAAGUUCCCCAAGACAAGGACAGAAUUCAAAAUCACUAAUAUCUACACUUGGGAUAUCUAGACUUGGACAAAUAGAUAAAGAUAUAUUGUAAUUACCAAAAAUUGGGAGAGACGUUAGGUGUUGCUACCCUUUUUCUAGAAAAGAUGUCAGAUCCAUUGAUGCCUUCAAUAGGCAUUGACUUUAAAGGCGAUGCAAGAAGGAAGUAUAGAUAUUGUUGAUCCUCAAGACACUCACGCAAUAGCAUGGAUGUCAGCUUAGGGAGUAUAGAAAGGAAAGGAAAUUGCGGCAGGAAUGAAAGACGUCAUUGUUGUUCUAGCAGUGUUACUAGCCCCUCCACCAUUUGUUUCAGUUUUUUCAACUUUUGAGUUUUUCCAUCAUGGCAGGAAUGAGAAGAAUGGUUCUACUAAUUCUCCUUCUUUUGACCCCUCCUCUAAAACAAAUUAUAACAAUUUUUAAUAAAUCAAAUAAGAGAAAGUAAAUGAUCAAAAGCAAAAGAGAGAAAUGAUUAUAACUGAUAGAACUAUAAAUGGAGUAUAAUGUUCUUAGAAGAUAGAUUGUAAAAUAAUGAAAAGUGUAACUAGCAAAAAAAGGAAUAUAGGUAGAAUUGCAAACCUGAAACCUAUCAUGUGACAUGCUAGAAUUAAAGAGCUCUCCUUUAUGAAUCGGUAAUCCAUUGCUAGUCAACAUCAAUUUCAAGAACCUAAGAAAUAUUGACUCAAUCUUCAGUUUGCCUUUUAGACAUCUUUCAAAUAAGUAUGGAGAAUUCUAGAUUAUGAAACUGCAAAUUAGGCUAUCAGCAGCACCUAUGACCUUAUGCAUACUUGAAAGAAGUGUUUAGCGCUACCAUUAUACCAUUUUUCUUUGACUUGAUGGUAAUUACAUCUGCAAUAAAAUAAUUAAUCUAAGAAAUUUUCCAAACAUGUAGAAUACAGACACCAAGUAACUAGACAUUUUGGCAAACGACUACCAACAAUUGAUCUCUUUGAAGAGAUGAUGAAUUUCAAUAUUUACUGAUCUAAGCAUUUUAUAUGGCAGGUGAAGCAAGCAAAAAUGAUAUGAAAGUAGUGCCAAGGAUGUCAAGUUAGUGCUAUAGUUGAUGUCUAAUUUACAAAGACGAGGAGAUGAAGGCAAACUCAAUGAUAUCAAGUGAUGGCAUUCUGUGAUACAUAUCUAAUUGAGAAAGGUAGGGAGAUAAAAGCAAAUUCAAAGAUGAAAUUCAAAGAUGUCAAGUGAUGGCAUUUUCUGAUAUAUAAAAUUUAGAAAGAUAAGGAAUUGAGGAUGUAGCCCACUGCAGUUGGAUUCUCAAGUUUCAAAAAUUGUAAAGAAGGAAGUUGACCAUACAGUGGUAGAACCUCAUCAUUGACUCAGCCUCUUCAUCCCCUUAUUGGCAACUGGUUCUGGGCCAUCCCAAUAGUUUAGAGACCACCCAUAUUCUUGAAGCCACCAAUGAUCUGUCUCUCACCAAUAAUCGGGCUUUCCUAAUAUAGUCUCGAGCAUUGAAGGUAUUGUUUUCCUUCAGACUUUCUUUCCUGGAUUUCUAGCACUGAAAAAAGAGUCCAACAUACUUAUAGGUUUUAUAGAAAAAUCAUGAAAGAUGAAUCCAUCAAAAGUGAGAAAAUAUGUAGCAUUGCAAACCUGAAAAUUGUGGAUGGCGGUCUUAAACCGAAUAGAGUGGGAUUCCUUCAUGCAGCAGAGCAUGAUAGAAUGCCAAUAAGAGUUGUAGGGACAUGAGCAAUCGUAGGUCAAUCUGCACAUGUUUCUUUUGGCAACUUCCUCACAAUAGUGGACAAUUGAAGAUUACAACUCUGAGAAGGGACAUGAAAAUAUUAAUGAAAGUUAAAAAGAAAAACAAGUUAAGGAAAAUGAUUUUGUCAUAUUUGGUUUGCCAUGAAAAAUAUAAAUAUAAUUAAAUUAGUUAGAAAUAUGUAUAAAUUAUUUAAUUUGAUACAAAAUAGGAAAAAAAAAAUCUUUUGUUUUCUAUCUUUAUUUUCUUUCCAUCUAAAUUUCCAAAAACUAAAGAUAGGAUUAAAGUAAAUGGAAAAUUUUCAACGUGAAACAUAAUUAAUUUGGUAUUUCCUUACCAAGUAAUGACUACAAGUGUGAUUUCUUAUAGUGUUAAUAAUUGAUUCAAAAAUACAAAAUUUUGGAAUUCUACUGAUCAAAACAUGUUAUCAAAGACAUAAAGUGUGAAAAUGAAGAAUUUACUAAAAUAGAGAAAAUUGAUUGUAAAAUAAUAAAAAUGAAGCCAUAAAAAAAAUGAGAAGAAUGGUUGGCAUUUCAGACCUGAAACAUAUGUUAGCUGGAUGUCAACUGUUGGAAUAUGAGCAAUCUUGGACCGAUCUCCAAGCUUGAAUCUAGGGCACCCCCCAAUUUCCAGCUUUGAAAGGGAAGUUAAGCUGCUUAUCCAGUCUGGUAAAGUGAUGAAAUAAGAACACUCUCUAAUUGAGAGAGUUUCCAGUGUGGUAACGUGUUGAAGCCCCUUUGGGAGAGACACCAAUGCUGGAAUUCCUUUAAUAAAUAGUUGACGCAAGCUUCUAAGGCCUUGAAAUUGCAAGCCACCAUCAUAAGCCUCUGUAUCUGACAAAUUGAGCUGCCCGCAUUUAGCAAUUUCUAACGUCUCAAGGGCGCUGAGAUGUUGAAUCCCUUGAAACAGAGACAUUUGUCCAUCACAAUCCUCAAUUUGUAAGGACUUGAGAGAAGUGAGGUGUUGUAGUCGAUCAUCUGGUAGAGAUACCAUAUCAUUUAUGCCCCAAAUAUGCAGAGACUUUAAUGAAGAAGAGACCAAAAUUAUCUGCCAUAGUAUCUCCUCAUGGACUCUACCCAGCCAUAGUUCCUCAAGACAAGGUAAAUGAGGCAGUUGCAAGGAUUCCAAGCAACUGCCAUCCCCGAUAAAUAAUUUAGAAAGAUGAGGGGAUGAAAUCAGUUUUAAGGUUGUUAACUGAUCACACGUACCAAUCCAUAAUAGAGAAAGAGAAGGACACGAAGGCAGUUGCAGGGAUUCCAAGCUUCUGCAAUCCCAAAUAAGUAAUUUAAAAAGACGGGGAGAUGAAAGCAGUUGGAAGGAUGUCAAUCCACCACAAUAUUUGACUUGCAUUAGCGAAAGAAGAGGAGAUGAAAGCAGUUGGAAGGUUGUUAAUUGAUCACACUUGUAGAUCUUUAAUUCAGAAAGAGAAGGACACGAAGGCAGUUGCAGAGAUUCCAAGCUACAACAAUACUGGAUAUGUAAUUCUGAAAGAUGAGGGGAUGAAAGCAGUUGGAAGGUUGUUAACUGAUCGCACCAAUAGAUCUGUAAUUCAGAAAGAGAAGGAAAUGAAGGAGCUUGCUCUCCUGCUAUCUCCCUCCUACACCAUCCCUUCAAAUUAUGCAACCUAUCCAGCUUGAGUGUUUUAAGAGAUGGAAAGAAUGGCUCAGCUGAUGAAGAGUUUUCCAACACGUAUUCCAACGCAUGCAGAUGUGUAAGAUGCAGACGCCGGAGAGAAGGCAGCACGGAACUCAUCCAACUCGGAAACCUCACACCUGUGUAACCAUCUAUGUAGAGCUCCUAGAUUUGGGCAUGGCUGCAGGCCUUCCAUCACCAACUCACCAUCCUCUCCAUUCUGGUAAUCUUCCCCCCGCUCCCACCACCUCCAUUCUAAUGCCAAGGACUGAAGGUAGUGUUUUUCCUUCAAGUUUGCUUCUUUGGAUUCUAAUGCCCCACCCUUCACUCUUUGAAGAUUUCUAAUCUCUAGCCCUCCUCUUAGAUUGUUAAGGCAUUGCAAUUCAUUCAGCCUACUUAUUCCCUCACGGUCACCUUUCCCAAUAACAAAUAAUGGUAGGGUCUGAAGCAUAGUCAAUUCUCCCAAUCUGCAAGGCAUAUAAGCCAAGCUCUGGCAUCCAUCUAUCUCGAGGUGCCUCAAGUUGAUCAUUUUUCUUAUAUUUCUUGGCAAUUCUUUAAGAGAAUGACAUUUCGAGAGUUUCAAUGUCUGCAGGUUUUGUAAGCUUGUAAUUCCACUAGGAAGUACCUCAAAUCCACCCCCAGAAAGGUCGAGAUAUCUCAAAUGAACCAAUUUAACUAAAGACUUUGGCAGCCCUCCAAGAAUUAUUAAAUAAGAUAAGUCCAACACCCGUAGACACUUGCAAUUUGGAAUAAGUGUAUUCACUGUAGAAUGAACAUCGUCACCACAAUGAAAACGACCUUUAGAGAGCAUAAAUAAUGUUCUUAUGGGUUUUGCCUUUAAAACCUUCAUCUUCGGACUCCAUUCGUCAAAUGACACAUGAUGAACUCUUUCCGACAUAUUUUGCACAUCAUCCGUCAAAAUAAAGAUCUCAGACUUUACAACAAGUUCUGCUAGAUUAUGGAUAAGGUCAUACAUUUUACAACUUAAUAUAUUAUUGUUAUCAUCUUUUUCAAUAUCUUGAAACAAUGACUGUGAUAAUAACUCCUCGAAAUAUUGAUCACCAACAUUCUCUAGAUAUUCAUUUUCAUCCGAAGGUUGAAUGUAACCUUGAGCCAUCCAUAAUUGUAUCAACUUUUUUUUUUUCAAUUUUAUAGUCUUUUGGAAACAAUGCACAAUAAGUAAAACACUGUUUCAAAUGACUUGGUAAAUUAUCAUAACUUAACUUUAGUACCAAUAAUAUGUUGUUCCCAUCUCGAAGCGACAUUAGAUUUUUAUUGUUUUUUAUGGACAACCAUUGACUUUCUUCGGUUUUAGAAUGCAAUAUCCUUCCUAAAGUUCUGAUUACGAGAGGGACUCCAUUGCACAUUUUUGUAAUUUCUUCUCCUAUUUUUAGGAGGUUUGGAUGUGCUCUUUGUUGCUCUUCUCCAAAUGCUAAACUUUUAAACAAACCCCAAGAUUGAUCAUGGUUUAAACCAUUCAAAACAUAUGGGGGAUCAAUUGUCAUAAUUGAUGCAACUUUAGAGUUUCGAGUAGUCACUACAACUUUGCUCCCCCUAGCACCAACUUUCAACAAAAUCCUCAAUUGAUUCCAUUUUUCAAAAUCGUAAUUCCAAACAUCGUCCAUUACUAACAAGUAUCUCUUGGAAUUUAAUUUUUCAUGAAGUUUGUUUUUCAAUUGUUCCAACACCAAAUUAUCUACAUUUUCAUCUGUUGCAGAUUUUAUGAUGUUUCUAACUAGGAUUUUCACAUCAAAAUCAUCAGAAACACACACCCACAACCUAAGAUCAAAAUGUCUUACCACCUUCUCAUCAUUGUAUACCAAUUGGGCUAAGGCAGUCUUACCUAAACCCCCAAUACCAACAAUGGCAACAACAGAAAGAUUUUCUUCAUUGUUUGAUUGCAACAAUAAUUUUAUAAUCUUCUUUUUAUCUUUAUCUCUUCCUAUUAUUUCAGACAUCAAUACAAAAGAGUGGGUCUCUCUCCCCCUAUUCGCUAUCCGCAUGCUAGUUGUCGCCCUUGGAAUAAAAUUGAACUUAGAGAUAUCACUUGCAAUGCCAUCUAGCCUUCCUCUAAUAACUUUGAUUCCAUGACCCAUUCUAAAAUGAAAUGCAACCUGAUUUGAAGAUGAGAAGAAGCGACUAACCUGUCUUGCCAUUCCUCCUCGCCUCAAGUCAUAGGUUGCAAAGUCAUCCAACAAGUCGUCCGCAUCAUAGAUGACAUCUUUGAACCUCCUCACCCAAUUCUCCACUGCAUGCUCCCUCUCCUGCCGCUCCUCAGCAUCCAGAAGCACAGCUUUGAUGGUGGUCAAUGUGUCCCCAAGCUUUUUCAGCUCCUCUCUAACACCACAAGCCAGUUCAAUUUCCUGGACAGCCAAGGAGCCCAACUUAGUCAAGAUUUUCUCAGCAAUGCUGAAAGGGAUUUGGUCAGCCAUCUUUCAAAGAAACUGAGAUGGAGAAGGCUAAUGAAAAAUUAUAGAAGGAGGGAAGUUGAGAUAAUUGUGAGAGAAAUUAGAACAAGAAGGAAAGUAGUGUGAGAGGUGUAUGGUCUUAAUAUAUAUGGGCAAUGAGAAAAGCAUUAGUUCCGUAGGGGAGGAAGCAAAGAAAAGGAUGUCUUGUUGUAGAAGAAAGGAACAAGUUGGUAGCAAGCAUCAAACAAAGAAU
rnacentral:lncRNA from 1 species